CAUUAGAUGGCUGAAAGUAAGCAAUGGUCUCUUAAACCAUUUAUAAUAUGUCACGUGUAUUUUAAUGA
rnacentral:tRNA from 1 species